GUUCCUUAAUCUUCGAAUUGGAUCCGGCUUAUUAUUUUUUGCAGACUGUUAGAGCAAUUUUAUAAAAGUUCACCAUGCAAAAGGAGAAGUGAUGUGUAUGGUUCUUGUUGGCCAGUUGGUAAACCCUGAAUUGCACUUUUUGUCUCAAAAAUGCAAAUUGUCUUGUAUAUAUAGGAUGUUCUGCUCAAGUGACUACAAAUUCAGAAAGCUUACAAGAGACAUCAAGGAGAUCAAGAGAAAGAAAAACUGUGGAAUGAGCUAUUG